rnacentral:rRNA from 1 species
CUUGAACGCUGGCGUCAGGCCUCACACAUGCACGUCGAACGAGUGGCGGACGGGUGAGUAAUGUCUGGGAAACUGCCCGAUGGGGGGGGAUAACUACUGGAAACGGUCGCUAAUACCGCAUACCAUCGGAUGUGCCCAGGUGGGAUUGGCUAGUAGGUGGGGUAACGGCUCACCUAGGCGACGAUCCCUAGCUGGUCUGAGAGGAGGACCAGCCACCCUGGAACGGAGACACGGUCCAGACUCCUACGGGAUGCAGCAGUGGGGAAUAUUGCACAAGGGGCGCAAGCCUGAUGCAGCCAUGCAGCGUGUAUGAAUAAGGCCUUCGGGUUGUAAAGUACUUUCAGCGAGGAGGCGUUACUCGCAGAAGAAGCAUCGGCGAACUCCGUGCCAGAAGCCGCGGUAAUAC